CAUUGAAUAAAUGGAAUCAUGGUCUUGCUGGUUGCUGCGUAUUUGGCUGUAUUGGUUAUUUCUAUUAUUCUAUUCAAUUUCUGCAAACUAAUCUAUUGAUUGAGUGGAGCGCAUAUUUUCAAGCAUGAGCAUUUCAAGACAGAUUUGCACAAUAAGAUAUCGGAUGAGUGGCUUAUAGAUUUGAAUUUGAUGGUCUGCUAUACUGAGCGAGAAAUAUUCAAAAAAAAAUGAUGAUGAUGACGAUGAUGCAAUCAUCAUAAAUAUAUUCCAAGCAUUAGAAAUCCAUAGAAUAUCCUUGCCUCUUAAAUGAAUUACAUGUAUUUUUUGAUUAAUGGUAGGCCAAAUCUUUCAGUUAAUGUUAUUUUCCCUUUCAAUUUAUCACUGAUUUUGCUAUGUUUACUUUAUGUAUAGGUGUUUCUAUUCUCAUAUGACUGAUGUAAGCAAUUACUUCGCAUUGGCAAAGUAUUUUUCUUUAUUUCUUUCUUUUCUAUUCAAUCAUGUAUCAUGAAUGUGUUGAACAGCUACUGUAAGUACUGCAAUUUACUUUUUAUUAACUUAGUACUUGAAGGUCAAGCCUACCCUCUUUUUCUAUCCUGGAUUCGCCGCUGGUACGGGUUGACGGCUAAACGACUAGGCAUUGUCUGGUAGUAAUCGUUUAAGCAAAACAGGACAGCACCGGUAAAUUAGCAAGCUCACAUCUAUGUUGCAGGCAGGAUGGACGCAGCAGUAGAAAUUUUUUUACGAAGAAGAGAAUGAAAGGAAACAUAUAUUACUGCUUAUAUACUAGUCCCAAAAAUAUAAGGUAUUUUGUCCCUAUAUAACUACACAGGCAAAAUCUCUUAUGUUUUGGGGGCGUUUUACGGUACCUCCCACUGGUAGGUGUAGUAGUGUAGUAGGAUCGCAUCUAACCGUUGAUUUUUCGGAGCAUUUUAGUCCAUCUCUUAAUUAUAGUGGAAGGGUAUUUCGGUAAUUUCGCGUUCCAAUCAUUUUCCCUCCUGCAAUCCUCUCAUCCAGCAGCGGUCUUCACAUCGUCCUCCAUAUCUUCGCAUCGCCGCGACGCCCCAUCGUGCGACGCCGACCAGGUGCGCCGCCGCGACACCCCUCCACCUCGACCUGUCCGCGCCGGCAUUCCCGUUUGCGCGGCCACCUCGACAUCCCUCCACCUUCGCCUGGCCGCGCCACCCAUCCCCUGCCACCCGGUGCCGUCGGCACACCGCGCCGCCGCUUUUCAGCUGUUGCCGCCACCGUCGCUUCUCUCCCCUUGUUGCCCUCCGCCGGCCCUCGUCGCCACCGCCCCCCUCCUCCCCUCCUAGCGGCCGCCAGCUGCCAUCCCCCAGUCACAUCGCUGCCAUCCUCGCCGCGUCUCUCUGCCUUCCCCUGGCCGGCUAUCCUCCCUCCCCUCCAGCCGGCUCUCUGAUCUGCUUCCCACCAGCCACUUGCCUGCAUUGAUUCUGUAUUUGGAGUAGUUGACGCCUACUCAUUUGAUUCAGAAAAUUACAGAAUUGAGCUGCCUCCUGUGUCCUAACUUGACUGGUUGUCGCUUGGUUUCUGAAAUUAUGUCCUGGAUGCUGAUCAUGGAGCUGUGGUUUACCCUGUCAGGAGGUCAGUAGCUCCUCCUGCAGUUCAGCAUUUGGGCGACGUCCUUGGGCAGUGUAACUGCGGCGCACCUGGUUGCCCUGAGAUGAUUCCGGCGCAAGCACAGUUCUGUUGUUUGCGUUGCAAGGCUGCAGUUCAUUGCUGUUUAUUUAUUAUUAUAAAGGAGUGUAAUGAACAAAAAAAAUUUAGUUGCCUUUUUAAAUAUUAGGAUUAAAUGAGCUGCAACUGGAUUGGUGACUUCAUUUUGUGAUGCUUGUGUGAUGCUUUAAUGGUGUUGUUUGCUAGAAUGAUGCUGUUGUUGAUGCUGGAAUGAUACUGCAACGGCUGGAAAUUGUGCUGCUGCUGGAACUGCACUGUUGUUGCUGGAAUGAAACUGAACUGCUGUUGCUGCAAUGAAA